rnacentral:misc_RNA from 1 species
GAUGAAGAACGUAGCGAAAUGCGAUAAGUAAUGCGAAUUGCAGAAUUCCAGUGAGUCAUCGAAUCUUUGAACGCACAUUGCGCCCUUUGGUAUUCCGAAGGGCAUGCCUGUUCGAGCGUCAUUUCACCACUCAAGCCUGGCUUGGUGUUGGGCGACGUCCCCUUUGGGGACGCGCCUCGAAACGCUCGGCGGCGUGGCACCGGCUUUAAGCGUAGCAGAAUCUUUCGCUUUGGAAGUCGGGGCCCCGUCUGCCGGAAGACCUACUCGCAAGGUUGACCUCGGAUCAGGCAGGGAUACCCGCUGAACUUAAGCAUAUCAAUAAGCGGAGGA